CUGUAUCUGAGCGAUGAGGCUCGCUCAAACCGUGGCUCAGCCGCUGAUGGCCUCUGCCCCCAG
rnacentral:ncRNA from 1 species